UUUCCGUAGGUGAACCUGCGGAAGGAUCAUUAUCGUACCAAAUGUGUCAGGCAUGCUCGGGCUGUUGCUGACUCAAAAAGUCGUGCACGCUGGAGGGUGUCCUCUCACAUAAUAAUCCAUCUCACCCUUUGUGCAUCACCGCGUGGGCACCCUUUGGGAUCGGACCGAUCUCGGAAGGGGGCCCGCGUUUUCACACAAACCCCCCCAUCUAAAAGUGUAGAAUGUCCUCAUUUAUGCAAUAAAUACAACUUUCAACAACGGAUCUCUUGGCUCUC
rnacentral:misc_RNA from 1 species